CAGCAAUGUCGCGUGAGUGAAGAAGGCCCUUGGGUCGUAAAGCUCUUUUAUGGGGGAAGAUGAUGACGGUACCCCAAGAAUAAGCACCGGCUAACUAUGUGCCAGCAGCCGCGGUAAUACAUAGGGUGCGAGCGUUGUUCGGAAUUACUGGGCGUAAAGGGCGCGCAGGCGGAAUAGUAAGUCGGAGGUGAAAGCCCGGGGCUCAACCCCGGAGGGUCUUUCGAAACUGCUAAUCUAGAGAGGGUCAGGGGCCGGCAGAAUUCCUGGUGUAGAGGUGAAAUUCGUAGAUAUCAGGAGGAAUACCGGUGGCGAAGGCGGCCGGCUGGGGCCACUCUGACGCUGAGGCGCGAAAGCGUGGGGAGCAAACAGGAUUAGAUACCCUGGUAGUCCACGCCGUAAACGAUGAGCACUGGACGUCCGGAGGGUUCGAC
rnacentral:rRNA from 1 species